UGCAAGUCGAGCGAGAAAAGGGGGGCAACUCCCUGAGUACAGCGGCGCACGGGUGAGUAACACGUGGGUAAUCUGCCCUGGAGUGGGGAAUAACACCGGGAAACCGGUGCUAAUACCGCAUACGAUAACGAGGUCUGCGGACUUUGUUAUGAAAGGAGCAAUUCGCUCCAGGAGGAGCCCGCGGCUGAUUAGCUAGUUGGUGGGGUAAUGGCUCACCAAGGCAACGAUCAGUAUCCGGUCUGAGAGGACGGUCGGACACACUGGAACUGAGACACGGUCCAGACUCCUACGGGAGGCAGCAGUGGGGAAUUUUUGGCAAUGGGGGAAACCCUGACCAAGCAACGCCGCGUGGGUGAUGAAGUCUCUUGGGACGUAAAACCCUUUCGACGGGGAAGAAACCGCAAGGUUGACGGUACCCGUAGAAGAAGCCCCGGCUAACUCCGUGCCAGCAGCCGCGGUAAUACGGGGGGGGCAAGCGAUGUUCGGAAUUACUGGGCGUAAAGGGUGCGUAGGCGGUGCUCUAAGUCGGAUGUGAAAACUCUGGGCUCAACCCAGAGCCUGCAUCCGAAACUGGAGUGCUAGAGUUCUGGAGGGGGUAGCGGAAUUCCUGGUGUAGCGGUGAAAUGCGUAGAUAUCAGGAGGAACACCGGUGGCGAAGGCGGCUACCUGGACAGAGUCUGACGCUGAGGCACGAAAGCUAGGGGAGCAAACAGGAUUAGAUACCCUGGUAGUCCUAGCCCUAAACGAUGGAUACUUGGUGUAACUGGGAUUGAAUCCAGUUGUGCCGAACUAACGCAUUAAGUAUCCCGCCUGGGGAGUACGGUCGCAAGGCUGAAACUCAAGGAAUUGACGGGGGCCCGCACAAGCG
rnacentral:rRNA from 1 species